rnacentral:rRNA from 1 species
GUUAACGGCGAGUGAAGCGGCAACAGCUCAAAUUUGAAAUCUGGCGCAAGCCCGAGUUGUAAUUUGCAGAGGAUGUUUCGGGUGAAGCCACGGUCCAAGUCCCUUGGAACAGGACGUCAUAGAGGGUGAGAACCCCGUACCUGGCCGUCGGUGCCCCCCGCUGUGAAACUCCUUCGACGAGUCGAGUUGUUUGGGAAUGCAGCUCUAAAUUGGUGGUAAAUUCCAUCUAAAGCUAAAUACCGGCCAGAGACCGAUAGCGCACAAGUAGAGUGAUCGAAAGAUGAAAAGCACUUUGAAAAGAGAGUUAAAAAGUACGUGAAAUUGUUGAAAGGGAAGCGCUUGCGGCCAGACUUGCCCGCGGUUGCUCAGCCCGCCUUUUGGCGGGUGCACUCUUCCGCGGUCAGGCCAGCAUCGGUUUGGGCGGUCGGAUAAAGGCGCCGGGAACGUGGCCUCCCCUCGGGGAGGUGUUAUAGCCCGGCGCGCAAUGCGGCCAGCCCGGACCGAGGUUCGCGCUUUGCUAGGAUGCUGGCGUAAUGGCCGUAAGCGGCCCGUCUUGAAACACGGACCAAGGAGUCUAACAUCUAUGCGAGUGUUUGGGUGUCAAACCCCGUGCGCGUAAUGAAAGUGAACGGAGGUGGAAACCGCAAGGUGCACCAUCGACCGAUCCUGAUGUCUUCGGAAGGGGCCGAGAGUAGUAGCUGGUUCCUGCCGAAGUUUCCCUCAGGAUAGCAGUAACGUUUUCAGUUUUAUGAGGUAAAGCGAAUGAUUAGAGGCCUGGGGGUUGAAACUAACCUUCACCUAUUCUCAAACUUUAAAUAUGUAAGAAGUCCUUGUUACUUAGUUGAACGUGGACAUUUGAAUGCACCGUUACUAGUGGGCCAUUUUUGGUAAGCAGAACUGGCGAUGCGGGAUGAACCGAACGGGGGGUUAAGGUGCCGGAAUGCACGCUCAUCAGACACCACAAAAGGUGUUGGUUCAUCUAGACAGCAGGACGGUGGCCAUGGAAGUCGGAAUCCGCUAAGGACGUGUGUAACAACUCACCUGCCGAAUGAACCAGCCCUGAAAAUGGAUGGCGCUCAAGCGUGCUACCCAUACCCCCCCUCCGCGGCAGGCUUUAUGCCGCGGAGAGUAGGCAGG